rnacentral:rRNA from 1 species
UACGGAGGGAGCUAGCGUUGUUCGGAAUUACUGGGCGUAAAGCGCACGUAGGCGGCUUUGUAAGUUAGAGGUGAAAGCCCGGGGCUCAACCCCGGAAUUGCCUUUAAGACUGCAUCGCUUGAAUCCGGGAGAGGUGAGUGGAAUUCCGAGUGUAGAGGUGAAAUUCGUAGAUAUUCGGAAGAACACCAGUGGCGAAGGCGGCUCACUGGCCCGUUACCGACGCUCAGGCGCGACAGCGUGGGGAGCAAACAGG